AACUGCAGAUGGCUCAUUACAACAGUUAUAGUUUAUUUGACAAUGUUGUACACGGAUAACCAUAGUAACUCUAUGGCUAAUACGUGAUAAAGCUUCUUACGAAGCGCGCAUAUUAGUUUAAAACCAAAUUUUGGUUGAACUAUAAUAUUUGUCGGAUCGUGCUGGCCUUGCCAUCGACAUGUCAUUCAAAUUUCUGCCCUAUCAGCUUGACGGUAGGUUAUUGGCCUACCGUGGCUCUGACGGGUAACGGAGAAUCGGGGUUCGGCUCCGGAGAGGCAGCCUGAGAAACGGCUACCACAUCCACGGAAGGCAGCAGGUGCGCAAAUUACCCAAUUCUGACUCAGAGAGGUAGUGACAAGAAAUAACGGUCGGCAGCCUUAGGUUGCUUUUCCGGAAUGAGGACAAUGUAAAAAAAUUACCGAUUAACAAGUGGAGGGCAAGCCUGGUGCCAGCAGCCGCGGUAAUACCAGCUCCACUAGCGUAUACUAAAGUUGUUGCUGUUAAAAAGCUCGUAGUUGGAUAUCAGUUUUUGGUGGAUGACCCUGUCGGAAUACGACUGCGAGUCAUAUCAGUUUACGCUGUCACCAAUAACUUAAUUCAGGAGAGCCUGUCUGUCCAUUUACUUGGUUGGGCAGGCGCGUCCUGAUCUUUUACUUUGAGAAAAUAAAAGUGCUCAAAGCAGGCAUUUGCCUGAAUUCAUUAGCAUGGAAUAAUAAAACAUGACUUUGGUCUUUAGGGGUUUCCCUAAGUGUUUUAUUGGUUUUGGGCUGAAGUAAUGAUUGAUAGGAACAAUUGGGGGUGCUAGUAUCGCCGGGCUAGAGGUAAAAUUCUUUGAUUCCGGUGAGACUAACUUAUGCGAAAGCAUUCACCAAGUAUGUUUUCUUUAAUCAAGAACUAAAGUUGAGGGAUCGAAAACGAUCAGAUACCGUUGUAGUCUCAACUAUAAACCAUGUCAACUAAGCAUUGGGCAAGUAUAGACUUCCUCAGAACUUUGCGAGAAAUCAAAGUUUUCGGACUCAGGGGGAAGUAUGCUCGCAAGAGUGAAACUUAAAGGAAUUGACGGAAAGGCACCACCAGGUGUGGAGCCUGCGGCUUAAUUUGACUCAACACGGGAAAACUUACCAGGUCCAGACAUAGUAAGGAUUGACAGAUUGAAGUUCUUUCAUGAUUCUAUGCAUGGUGGUGCAUGGCCGUUCUUAGUAGGUGGAGUGAUUUGUCUGGUUAAUUCCGAUAACGUACGAGACCUCAGCCAUCUAAAUAGCUGUAGCUAACUUGUUAGCGAAGACUAACGUCAUAACAGCUUCUUAGAGGGACAAUCUGUGUUUAACAGAAGGAGGAUUGAGGCAAUAACAGGUCAGUGAUGCCCUUAGAUGAUCUGGGCUGCACGCGCGCUACAAUGGUUCACUCAAAAAGUUUAACCUAUCCUGAAAAGGCUGGGUAAUCUUUAAAAUGAAUCUAAGUUGGGAUAGAUGAUUGCAAUUGUUCAUCUUGAACAAGGAAUAUCUAGUAAACGCAAGUCAUCAACUUGCAUUGAUUACGUCCCUGCCCUUUGUACACACCGCCCGUCGCUUCUACCGAUUGAAUAAUCCGGUGAAUUGAGUGGAUAAACAGGUAGCUUCGGCAUGCCAUGUUUAAAAGCUCUGUGAACCAAAUUAUUUAGAGGCAGGACAAGUCGUAACAAGGUUUCC
rnacentral:rRNA from 1 species